UACGUAGGGUGCGAGCGUUGUCCGGAAUUAUUGGGCGUAAAGAGCUCGUAGGCGGUUUGUCGCGUCGACUGUGAAAACCUACAGCUUAACUGUGGGCUUGCAGUCGAUACGGGCAGACUUGAGUUCGGUAGGGGAGACUGGAAUUCCUGGUGUAGCGGUGAAAUGCGCAGAUUUCAGGAGGAACACCGGUGGCGAAGGCGGGUCUCUGGGCCGAUACUGACGCUGAGGAGCGAAAGCGUGGGGAGCGAACAGG
rnacentral:rRNA from 1 species